rnacentral:rRNA from 1 species
GUAGGUGGCAAGCGUUGUCCGGAAUUAUUGGGCGUAAAGCGCGCGCAGGUGGUUCGUUUAAGUCUGAUGUGAAAGACCCCCGGGCUCAACCCGGGGAGGGUCAUUGGAAACUGGGGAACUUGAGUGCAGGAGAGGAAAGUGGAAUUCCACGUGUAGCGGUGAAAUGCGUAGAUAUGUGGAGGAACACCAGUGGCGAAGGCGACUUUCUGGCCUGUAACUGACACUGAGGCGCGAAAGCGUGGGGAGCAAACAGGAUUAGAUACCCUGGUAGUCCACGCCGUAAACGAUGAGUGCUAAGUGUUCGGGGGGGUUUCCGCCCCUCAGUGCUGCAGCUAACGCAUUAAGCACUCCGCCUGGGGAGUACGGUCGCAAAGACUG